rnacentral:rRNA from 1 species
AAUUCAGAGAUGGAUUUGUGCCUUCGGGAACCGUGAGACAGGUGCUGCAUGGCUGUCGUCAGCUCGUGUUGUGAAAUGUUGGGUUAAGUCCCGCAACGAGCGCAACCCUUAUCCUUUGUUGCCAGCGAUUCGGUCGGGAACUCAAAGGAGACUGCCAGUGAUAAACUGGAGGAAGGUGGGGAUGACGUCAAGUCAUCAUGGCCCUUACGACCAGGGCUACACACGUGCUACAAUGGCGCAUACAAAGAGAAGCGACCUCGCGAGAGCAAGCGGACCUCAUAAAGUGCGUCGUAGUCCGGAUUGGAGUCUGCAACUCGACUCCAUGAAGUCGGAAUCGCUAGUAAUCGUGGAUCAGAAUGCCACGGUGAAUACGUUCCCGGGCCUUGUACACACCGCCCGUCACACCAUGGGAGUGGGUUGCAAAAGAAGUAGGUAGCUUAACCUUCGGGAGGGCGCUUACCACUUUGUGAUUCAUGACUGGGGUGAAGUCGUAACAAGGUAACCGUAGGGGAACCUGC